rnacentral:rRNA from 1 species
AACGCGAAGAACCUUACCUGGGCUUGAACCGCACAGGACCAUCUUUGGAAACAGAGACUUCCCGCAAGGGACCUGUGUAGAGGUGCUGCAUGGCUGUCGUCAGCUCGUGCCGUGAGGUGUUGGGUUAAGUCCCGCAACGAGCGCAACCCUUACUCAUAGUUGCUACCCGCAAGGGAGAACUCUAUGAGGACUGCUCCGGAUAACGGAGAGGAAGGUGGGGAUGAGGUCAAGUCAGCAUGGCCUUUAUGUCCAGGGCUACACACGUGUUACAAUGCGCGCUACAGAGCGUUGCAAACCCGCGAGGGGGAGCUAAUCGCAAAAAAGCGCGCUCAGUUCGGAUUGCAGUCUGCAACUCGACUGCAUGAAGCCGGAAUCGCUAGUAAUGGCGCAUCAGAACGGCGCCGUGAAUACGUUCCCGGGCCUUGUA